GACUGUACAAAGGUAGCAUAAUCAUUUGUGUUUUAAUUGGAUUCUGGUAUGAAUGGUUGGAUGAGGAAUUUCCUUUCUUUGGUUUAUUUUAAAAAUUUGACUUUUGAGUCAAAAGGCUCAAAUGGAUUUGUAGGACGAGAAGACCCUAUAGAACUUUAUUAUAAAAAUAGGAUGGUUUUUAGUAAAUAUGGGUUUGUCCUAUAAAAUAUAAUUUUGUUGGGGUGACAAAAAAAAUUUUAUAACUUUUUUUAUUUGGCUCAUUUAUAGAUGUAUUUUUGAUCCUUUUUUAUGGAAAGAAGAUUAAGUUACCUUAGGGAUAACAGCGUUAUUAUUUUGGAGAGUUCAUAUUGAUAAAAUAGUUUGCGACCUCGAUGUUGAAUUAAAAAAGGUCUCAGGAGUAGAAGAUUGAUGACCAGGUCUGUUCGACCUUUAAAUUUUUACA
rnacentral:rRNA from 1 species